AUGCUGUUGCCGCUGAUCUCCGCUGCCGGAGGAGCCGGAGGGCCACCGGCUGGGCUGGAGCCCAUGAUAGGGAAGCCGGGGUGCGAGACCAGGUGCGGCAACGUGAGUGUGCCGUUCCCGUUCGGGUUCGGCCCGGCCAGGUGCUCGGCGACGGGCCUCAACCUCACCUGCGACAACACCACCCGCCCUGGCAAGCCGCCCCGGCUGCUCCUCGGCGAGGGCGGCGUCUUCCAGCAGGUCGAGGAGAUCUCGAUCCAACUAAGCACGGUGCGCGUCGUCACGCCACCUAUCUUCAGCCCUGCGAGGUCGAACCUCAGCGCCGACGACUACGGCGCCGUGAAGAGAGCGUCAUGGGGCGGCGGCCGCCUCGACAGCCACAGCAUCUUCCAGUACACGCUGUCGUCUAAGUCCGACUACCUCGGCACCUUACGCCCCGAGCUGGUGGUGGUGGGGUGCAACGUGCAGGCGACGCUGCACACCGAGAUCAGCCGCGGGAACAGCUACGUCGUCGGCUGCUCCUCCUACUGCGACGGCCAUCGUGCACUCACCGCCGACGACGUCCGGAACGACAGCGCCGGCUACUGCGUUGCCACCAUCGACACGGCCCAAACGUACUACAACGUGGAGGUCACACGACUGGGCAACGGCAGCGCGGUCAACGACGACCUGCCCGUGUCCGUGCUCCUCGUCAAGGCUGAUUUCGGUGCACAGGAUCUGCCCAACCGGGUGCGUGUUGUAUGUUCUAUGUACGUAGAUAUGGACGAGUGCAAGGACCCAGUACACAACCGAUGUUUCGGCGAGUGCGUCAAUAAUAUGGGAUCAUUUGACUGCUGGUGUCCACAAGGAUACCAUAGAAACCCUAGACGACCCGAUGGUUGCAUCAAGUCCAUGAAGAGUGUAAAGAACACAGGUUUAAUCAUUGGUAUCUCAGUUUCUGUUGUCCCCUGCCUCAUACUUUUGGCUCUCGGUGGAAUCUUAAUAAUCCGCAAGCUUAAGCAUCACACGGCUGAAAGGAUAAAACUGAAGUUCUUCAAUCAAAAUCGUGGGCAGCUGUUGCAGCAACUCAUAUCCAAUAGGUCUGAUAUUGGAGAGAGGAUGAUUGUCCCUCCAAACGAGCUAGACAAGGCAACAAACAAUUUUGAUCAAAUUCGUAAGCUCGGUGGAGGAGGCCAUGGUACCAUCUACAAAGGUAUAUUGUCAGAUCUACAUGUGGUGGCCAUCAAGAAGUCAAAUAUUGUUGUUCAAAGAGAGAUUGAUGAGUUCAUAAAUGAGGUUGCCAUACUAUCACAAAUCAAUCAUAGGAACGUUGUGAAACUUCAUGGAUGUUGUCUCGAGACCGAAAUCCCAUUGCUAGCCUACGAGUUCAUUUCCAAUGGAAUCCUUAGUGAGCAUCUUCAUCAUGCGUCACCAAGAUCAAUACCUUGGAGAGACAGGCUCAGGAUCGCAUGUGAAGUAGGCAAAGCCAUUGCGUAUCUUCAUUCUGCUAUUUCAAUCCCUGUUAUACAUAGAGAUAUCAAAUCUUCCAACAUACUUCUUGAUGAUGCCUUGACAACAAAGGUAUCUGACUUCGGUGCGUCAAGGUACAUUCCUGUAAAUCAGACGGGGAUAACAGCAACAACAGUGCAGGGAACUAUAGGAUAUCUUGAUCCUAUGUAUUAUUACACAGGACGACUAUCAGAAAUGAGUGAUGUUUAUAGCUUCGGAGUUCUUCUUGUUGAGUUGCUUACGAGGAAGAUGCCAAUCACAUAUAGGUCCUCUGAAGGUGAUGGACUUGUUAUGCAAUUUGUUGAAAUACUUUAACAAGACAAUCUAGUUGACCUAAUAGAUUCACAAGUUGCAGCGGAAGGAGGCAAUGAAGUCCAAGAAGUCGCUUGCCUAGCUGCAUCCUGCUUAAAAUUAAAGGGAGAGGAGAGACCAACCACGAGGCAACUAGAGAUUGCACUCGAAGGCCUCCAAGCAACCAAGGAGCAUCCCCUAUUUGAUUCAAGAGCCAUUCAGAAUGAGGAGAACUAUAUUGAAACAAGUUAUCCAUCUACUGCAAGAAGUACAAGCUUGGAUGAAGUGAGCAGACUAUACAACCAAGAAGAAGAGUUCUCGCUCCAUGCAAGAUACCCUCGUUAA
rnacentral:rRNA from 1 species